rnacentral:misc_RNA from 1 species
UGCAGGAGCCGGCUUGCUGGCGAUGCAGGCAACUCGGUGCAACUGGAUGACCGAGGUGAUGCCGUCGCCAGCAAGCCGGCUCCUACA